AUGGCUGAGUCUGCUGUUAAGGCCGUGGUCGGGAAUGUGAGCAAACUUGCGGUUUGGGAAACCUCACUUUUAUGUGGUGUCACAGGUGAAGUAGGAUUCUUGAAAGAUGAACUGAAGCGGUUAAAGUGCUACCUUAGAUCUGCUGAUGCUAAACGGAAAUCAGGAGACGAGUGUGUGGCUACCUGGCUCAGCCAGAUCAGGGACGUGACAUAUGAGUCCGAGAAUGUCAUUGAAGCUGCAGAUUACAUGGAGAAGAGAAACAGGCUGAAGAAUGGAUUCUUGGGUGCCAUUUCAAGGUAUGCUCGCUUGCCAAGUGACAUGGUUACCCUUCAUAAAGUUGGUGUUGAAAUUCAGCGUAUAAGAAGGAAGAUCAGUGAGAUAUUUGACAGUGCAAACCGUUUGAAUAUUGAUUUAGAUACUAGUGUUCUAGGUAAGUGUUGUGUCGAGGAUGAGUUUCCACGAGGCAAUGAUCUCAUGGAUCAAAACUUUGAGGAUGAUGUUGUCAUUGUUGGUUUUGAGGAUGAGUGCCAGGAAAUAACGGACAGGUUAGUCGACAAAGAGAACAAUACUCUUAGUGCUAUCUCCAUAGUUGCCAUGGGUGGGGCGGGAAAAACAUCACUCGUCAGAAAAAUCUACACUUCAUCAAGAGUAAAAGAACACUUCGACACAGUUGCUUGGGUGACUGUGUCUCAAAAGUUCAAGGCCGUUGAUUUACUCACAAGUAUUGUGGGACAAAUAAUGGGGGCCAGAGUUGGUUUUAAUAUCUGUGAGUGUGAGGUGGGAAAGGAGAUACAUAAUUUUCUGUUGCAAAAAAGAUUCUUAAUAGUUCUUGAUGAUGUUUGGGAAACAGAUACAUGGGAGCAAAUAAACAAAAUGGUUAAAGCAUUUCCAGAUGUAGCUAAUGGUAGUCGAGUGCUGUUAACCACACGAAAGCAAGAUGUUGCGAAUCAUGUGCAAAUGCCAACUCAUGUCCAUCAUUUGAAGAAGUUAGACGAAGAGAAAAGUUGGGAACUUUUUAGUAGCAAAGCUUUACCAUCAUACAGCAGGUGUGCUGUAUGUGAUGUGGAUGAGUUUGAAGAACUAGGAAAGAAGCUUGCAAAGAAAUGUAAUGGAUUACCGCUUGCACUUGCAGUUUUUGGGGGUUAUCUAUCAAAAAAUCUGAACAGAGAAACAUGGAUCAAUAUACUCUUGAGCUGGCCAUCAACCAAAGACGGACAGAUGAUGCGAGACAUACUAGCUCGCAGUUACAACGACCUACCAGAUCAUUAUUUAAGAUCAUGUUUCCUCUAUGUUGGUGCUUUCCCCGAGGAUUAUGAAAUAUCUGUGUCGGAUCUUAUUGAGUUAUGGAUAGCAGAAUGCUUCAUUCCACAUACACCAAAACAUACACUGGAAGAAAUAGCACGUAAGUAUGUAACUGAGUUAGCUCAAAGAAGCUUGGUCCAAGUAGUUAGUAGAAGCAGAGCACAUGGAUGGAUUGAAAGAAUAAGGAUCCAUGAUAUCUUGCGUGACUGGUGCAUAGAAGAAGCAAGAGAAGACGGCUUUCUUGAUAUGAUUGACAAAACUGCAUGCUGGGAUAGCGCAUCAUCAUUCGAAAGGACGCUAUCCUAUCGCGCUUCAUUCCAAAACUUCAGCGGUCAGAUUUUACAGGCAACAACUCCUAAUCUACGAACUCUGGUUGGCUUUGAACUUUCAUCAAUAUUCCUACCUAAGCUGAGAUUCCUGAGAGUUCUUCACAUUGAAAACUCAGACCUCGAGAAUUUCUCUCCAGCCAUUGGUGGGUGCAUUCAUCUAAGGUGCCUUAGGUUGAGAAGAUGUGGAAAUGUAACACUCCCUUCUUCAAUUGAAGAACUCCUUUACUUGCAGAUUAUAGACCUGAGGAAAACAAACUUGGACUCAACACUACCAAACUCUCUCUGGAACAUUCCCACUCUAAGGCAUGUUUACCUGAGCAGUGCAUUUUCUUCACCAAGGAGUGUGGGACACAAAGAGCUCCAGACCUUAUGGUUGACUUGUGCGUCUGUUGGUACCAAAUAUCGCUAUCAUGACAUGGUGACGUUUUUGAGAAAAAUGAGACAACUAACAACCUUGUUCUUGGUAAUGAAGCCCAUGCAUGCUAAGAUAAUGAAUAUAUUUGCGUACAUGCCUCACCUGGUUGAUAUUCAUCUCGCCAGUUUUGGUGUGCUUGAUAAGCUUCCAGAGAGUAAUCACUUCCCGCAGAGCCUUCGGCAUCUCUAUCUAGAAGCUGAUGUCAUUGAACUAGACCCGAUGCCGAUCCUGGAGAAGCUUCCUUGUCUUGUGGUGUUGGAGUUGUCAGGGUAUAAAGGCCGAACCAUGUCAUUUUCUGCCCAAGGGUUUCCUCGUCUCCAAGAGUUAAAACUUGAUAAUUUCUCCGUCGAGGAGUGGAGGAUGGAGGUAGGAACAAUGCCAAAGCUCUCCCACCUGAAACUUUGGUUGUGCAAGGAGAUGUGGAAGUUACCCAACGGAUUGUUGCACCUUCCAUCCCUCACGAAUUUGAAAUUAGUCAGUAAGUCCCCGAUUUCUUGA
rnacentral:rRNA from 1 species